UACGUAGGGUGCAAGCGUUGUCCGGAAUUAUUGGGCGUAAAGGGCUCGUAGGCGGUCCAUCGCGUCGGGAGUGAAAAGCUGGGGCUUAACCCCAGUCCUGCUCCCGAUACGGGUGGACUAGAGGUAGGCAGGGGAGAACGGAAUUCCUGGUGUAGCGGUGAAAUGCGCAGAUAUCAGGAGGAACACCGGUGGCGAAGGCGGUUCUCUGGGCCUUACCUGACGCUGAGGAGCGAAAGCAUGGGGAGCAAACAGG
rnacentral:rRNA from 1 species